CACUUUCAUGCAUUGGAGAAGGAAAUGGCAACCCACUCCAGUGUUCUUGCCUGGAGAAUCCCAGGGACAGGGGAGCCUGUUGGGCUGCUGUCUAUGGGGUCGCACAGAGUCAGACACGACUGAAGUGACUUAACCUUACUUUACCUUACCUUAUGGCCACUCACAGUUCUUCCUGGGGAGAAGUGGAGUCUAUUUCCUCCCUAUUGUCUGGGGGACUUGCUUUGACCAAGACAAUAUGGCAGAAGUGACACCAUGCCACUUCUGGGCCUGGAAGCUUCUGCUUUCACUGUCUCAGAAUCCAGCCACCACGUAGUAAGGAAAUCCAGGCUGCCCUGGGGGAAGAAGAAACCAGGGGGUGAGAAAAGUCAUGUGGAGGAUGAAAGGCUAUGCGACACCCCCUUCCAGGUCCUUCAGGCCACAAGCUGAACGCAGCUGCCUGCAUGUCCCGUCCAUUCCCUGUCUUGUCGGCACCGGGUACUUCUCUUGUCUGGUCCACAUCAGCUGUGUCCAGCCUACCAGAGGAGCAAGAAGAAUCACAAAACCACUGUUAUUUUAAGCCCCAACUUUUGGGAUAGUCUGUUACAUAACAAAAGACAACAGAAAUAGAUCCAUUUGCUUUUUGUCUUCUCUCAAACCUCAAUUUUGACCACAGUGUCUGCAAAGAUAUACAGCCCCAUCAAAUAGCAGAAAGAAAACUGAUUUAUUCUGGGCCAACCAUGAAUAUCCAGUGAAUCCUUAUUUUCCCCACCAGGUCACUUUGUUUAGUAUCAAAGAUGCCUCAGAAGAGCGCCUGUGGGUCUCUUCCGCCUCUCCGUUCCUUCUCCCGACUCACUCCGCCUCAAAUUCUGGGAUCUUUUUACGCCCACCCUCCCCUGGGAUCCUGCCCCAAUUUUGGAGAAAACAUACAAGGCCUAUGAGUUGCCGACUGUUUUCUAGAAUAUUCUUAACAUUGUGUUCUAAGCAAAGGUGUUACGUCUUACAGAUUUUUCAGAGGCUACAAGGAAGAAUGAGGGACAGCCCGGCAACAUGUUUGUCACUAUGCCCUUCCCCCAGGAACUGCACGCUCCUGGAAUGUGACCACUUUUCAGAGAUGCCGCCGAUCGGAGUUGAGAGCUGGAGCUCAGAGAUGGCUUAGAUCCAGACACAUGAUGGCUGCAACCUCUGCCUCUUUGAGGGGCCACGGGACCAUCUCACGCUGUGCAGAAAAGCAAGUCUCCUAGACACUUUCUCCUCUUCCCACCCAAGGCUGUAUCAUGAAGAUUAGGAUUAUUAAACUGUAAGCCACCAAAAAUCCAAAAUAAAAGUGGGUUACAGCAGAGAGUUUAUUUCCUA
rnacentral:lncRNA from 1 species